UACUAGCAGCAGCAUGGGUACCCGUAUCAGGUCAGAUACUAGUAGCAGCAUAGGUACCCAGGUCAGGUCAGGUACUAGUAGCAGCAUGAGUACCCGGGUCAGGUCAGAUACUAGUAGCAGCAUAGGUACCCAGGUCAGGUCAGGAACUAGUAGCAGCAUGGGUACCCAGGUCAGGUACUUAUAGCAGCAUGGGUACCCGGGUCAGGUACUUAUAGCAGCAUAGGUACCCGGGUCAGGUCAGGUACUAGUAGCAGCAUGGGUACCCGGGUCAGGUCAGGUACUAGUAGCAGCAUUGGUACCCGGGUCAGGUCAGGUACUAGUAGCAACAUGGGUACCCAGGUCAGGUCAGGUACUUGUAGCAGCAUGGGUACCCGGGUCAGGUCAGGUUCUUGUAGCAGCAUGGGUACCCGGGUCAGGUCAGGUACUAGUAGCAACAUGGGUACCCAGGUUAGGUCAGGUACUAGUAGCAGCAUGGGUACCCAGGUCAGGUCAGGUACUAGUAGCAGCAUGGGUACCCGGGUCAGGUCAGGUACUAGUAGCAACAUGGGUACCCAGGUCAGGUCAGGUUCUUGUAGCAGCAUGGGUACCCAGGUUAGGUCAGGUACUAGUAGCAACAUGGGUACCCAGGUUAGGUGAGGUACUAGUAGCAGCAUGGGUACCCAGGUCAGGUCAGGUACUAGUAGCAGCAUGGGUACCCAGGUCAGGUCAGGUACUAGUAGCAACAUGGGUACCCAGGUCAGGUCAGGUACUAGUAGCAGCAUGGGUACCUGGGUCAGGUCAGGUACUAGUAGCAGCAUGGGUACCCAGGUCAGGUCCGAUACUAGUAGUAGCAUGGGUACCCAGGUCAGGUCAGGUACUUGUAGCAACAAGGGUCACCGGGUCAGGUCCGAUACUAGUAGCAGCAUGGGUACCCGGGUCAGGUACUAGUAGCAACAUGGGUACCCAGGUCAGGUCAGGUACUUGUAGCAGCAUGGGUACCCAGGUCAGGUCAGGUUCUUGUAGCAGCAUGGGUACCCAGGUUAGGUCAGGUACUAGUAGCAGCAUGGGUACCCGGGUCAGGUCAGGUACUAGUAGCAGCAUGGGUACCCAGGUCAGGUCAGGUACUAGUAGCAGCAUGGGUACCCAGGUUAGGUCAGGUACUUGUAGCAGCAUGGGUACCCAGGUCAGGUCAGGUUCUUGUAGCAGCAUGGGUACCAUGGUCAGGUCAGGUACUUGUAGCAGCAUGGGUACCCGGGUCAGGUCAGGUACUAGUAGCAGCAUGGGUACCCAGGUCAGGUCAGGUACUAGUAGCAGCAUGGGUACCCAGGUCAGGUCAGGUACUAGUAGCAGCAUAGGUCCCCAGGUCAGGUCAGGUACUAGUAGCAGCAUGGGUACCCAGGUCAGGUCAGGUACUAGUAGCAGCAUGGGUACCGGGGUCAGGUCAGGUACUAGUAGCAGCAUGGGUACCUGGGUCAGGUCAGGUACUAGUAGCAGCAUGGGUACCCAGGUCAGGUACGAGUAUUAGCUUGGGUUUUCAAGUCAGGUACUCACAGUAUGGGUACCUUGAUAAUCAGGUACUACCAGCAUAGCUAUCGGUGUCAUGUUAGUAGCAUGGGCACCAAGGUAGAACCAUCUCAGCCAGCGUCCUGUAUUUGUACAACUUGCACAUUUCCCAGUCUGUUGCUGUUUCUGGGAAGUCUAUACAUUCCUGUUUCACUGUUGCUCACUGGACAUUUUUAUGCCAAAAUAUUUUUAACUUCCUGAUGAUAUUUUAUUAAAAACCUAUUUUAUUCACCUAAUGUUUCUACCUGUGUUUCCCUGUAAAUGUCUGAUAAUUGUGCAAACCUUUCUCUGUUGUUUGAAUCAACACUAAGCCAUAAUGUGAUAACAAGCAGGAACAGGAAAGCCAGACAGUGUUGGACAUAACUCAGUACCCAAGCCCGUGACCAGUAACAUUUUUAAUGGGCAAGUGAAAUAUUGGUUCAAACUGGCUGAGUCUCAAUGUAGUAUUGACCUUCUUUAUGUUGUAUUUAUUGAGCUGUUUUAACAAGGUAAGUUAAAGAUAUCUCAAGCUUUAAAUAGAUUAAACUUAGGGCAAAUAAUUAAAAUAUUUAAUCAUGUACGUUAAUGCUCAUCAAAUCAAGUAAA